GACAAGUGUCAUGACAACAAUUAUCAUAUAUCUUCCUGAAGCUUGCAACAGGGUACUUCCGAAGGCAAUUUGCACACAUAAACAAAUUACCUGAAGACGACUAUGUACGUUCAACAUGAAAUCAUGAAAGUGAAUACGUUUUUUUCUCCAAUUAGAUGGCCUGCCAAGACAAUAAUAUCAGUUAUCUGAAGUGAAGAAUGCACGCACUGCAGGUUCCAACAACAAAUUGGAGAACUGCGAAGGCAUCAAGCACAAAUUUUGAUUAUUUGCUUAUCUUUCAUCCAAGCCACUUACCCUGGAAGUCCUAAAGACAGUGCUGGGAUGCAAUCAGGGAAGAUUUAUAAACUGCUGAUCAACCCCAAAGUCAGAAAGCAUCAAAAUUUUCCACUAAUGAUUCAGUCAUUACCUUAGUGACUAUGAUUUAUAGUACUAUAAUCACAUUUAAUGACUUCAAGCCAAUUCUCUAUUCUCUA